GGUGAGUAACGCGUUGGUGACCUGUCCCGAAGAGAGGGAUAACAGUUCGAAAGGACUGCUAAUACCGCAUAAUCUCUGACUGGUUAGAGCCAGGCAGAGGAAAGCAGCGAUGCACUUUGGGAGGGGCCUGCGUCCCAUCAGCUAGUUGGUAAGGUAAAGGCUUACCAAGGCGACGACGGGUAGGGGGCCUGAGAGGGUGAUCCCCCACACUGGCACUGAAACACGGGCCAGACACCUACGGGUGGCAGCAGUAGGGAAUAUUGCACAAUGGGCGAAAGCCUGAUGCAGCAACGCCGCGUGCGCGAUGAAGGCCUUCGGGUCGUAAAGCGCUUUUCUGGGAGAAGAGGAAGGACGGUAUCUCAGGAAGAAGGAUCGGAUAGCUACGUGCCACCAGCCGCGGUAAAACGUAGGAUCCGAGCGUUAUCCGAAUUCACUGGGCGUAAAGCGCGUGCAGGCGGUCUGAUAAGUUGGACGUGAAAUCUCCUGGCUCAACUGGGAGAGGCUGUUCAAUACUGUUAGACUAGAGGUCAGUAGAGGGAGGUGGAAUUCCCGGUGUAGUGUUGAAAUGUGUAGCAUAUCGGGCGGAACACCAGUGGCGAAGGCGGCCUCCUGGACUGUACCUGACGCUCAGACGCGAAAGCUAGGGAGCGAACGGGAUUAGAAACCCCUGGUAGUCCUAGCCGUAAACCAUGUAGACUGAGUGUUGCAGGGUAAAACCAGCUGAUGCUGAAGCCUAACGCGAUAAGUCUACUAACUGGUGACAAACUGCCCCGGAGUUUA
rnacentral:rRNA from 1 species